AAGAUGAGUAUGCGUCCCAUUAGCUAGUUGGCGAGGUAACGGCUCACCAAGGCAACGAUGGGUAGGGGUCCUGAGAGGGGGAUCCCCCACACUGGUACUGAGACACGGACCAGACUCCUACGGGAGGCAGCAGUAGGGAAUAUUGGGCAAUGGACGAGAGUCUGACCCAGCCAUGCCGCGUGCAGGAAGACGGCGUUCUGCGUUGUAAACUGCUUUUAUCUGGGAAGAAAAUGCCCAUGCGUGGGAAAUUGCCGGUACCAGAUGAAUAAGCACCGGCUAACUCCGUGCCAGCAGCCGCGGUAAUACGGAGGGUGCAAGCGUUGUCCGGAUUUAUUGGGUUUAAAGGGUGCGUAGGCGGCUAUUUAAGUCAGCGGUGAAAGUUUUGGGCUCAACCCAGAAAUUGCCAUUGAUACUGGAUAGCUUGAGUAUUGGAGAGGUACAUGGAAUUGAUGGUGUAGCGGUGAAAUGCAUAGAUAUUACAUAGAAUACCAAUUGCGAAGGCAG
rnacentral:rRNA from 1 species